AUUGAACGCUGGCGGCAUGCCUUACACAUGCAAGUCGAACGGUAACGGGCCUUCGGGUGCCGACGAGUGGCGAACGGGUGAGUAAUACAUCGGAACGUGCCCGAUCGUGGGGGAUAACGAGGCGAAAGCUUUGCUAAUACCGCAUACGAUCUACGGAUGAAAUCCGGGGACCGCAAGGCCUUGCGCGGACGGAGCGGCCGGUGGCAGAUUAGGUAGUUGGUGGGAUAAAAGCUUACCAAGCCGACGAUCUGUAGCUGGUCUGAGAGGAUGAUCAGCCACACUGGGACUGAGACACGGCCCAGACUCCUACGGGAGGCAGCAGUGGGGAAUUUUGGACAAUGGGCGCAAGCCUGAUCCAGCCAUGCCGCGUGCAGGAUGAAGGCCUUCGGGUUGUAAACUGCUUUUGUACGGAACGAAAAGCCUUCUUUUAAUACAGGAGGGUCAUGACGGUACCGUAAGAAUAAGCACCGGCUAACUACGUG
rnacentral:rRNA from 1 species